GACGAACGCUGGCGGCGUGCCUAAUACAUGCAAGUAGAACGCUGAGGGGAGGGCUUUCUCUUUUGGAUGAUUUCCGCACGGGUGAGUAACGCGUGGGUAACCUGCCUGGUAGCGGGGGAUAACUAUUGGAAACGCUGGCUAAUACCCCAUAAAAGUAAUUGUUGCAUAACAUUUACUUAAAAGGUGCAAUUGUAUCACUACCUGUUGGACCUUCGUUGGCUUAGGUAGUUGGUGGGGUAAUGGCUUACUAAGGCGACGAUACUUAGUAGACCUGCGAGGGGGAUCGGCCACACUGGGACUGAGACACGGCCCAGAAUCCCACGGGAAGGAGCAGGAGGGAAACUUCCGGAAUGGACGGAAGGCUGAACGAGCAAAGGCGCGGGAGUGAAGAAGGUUUUCGGAUCGGAAAGAUCUGGUGUAAGGGGAGAAAGAGAGGGAGAGGGGAAAGUGCACACUGUGACGGUAUCUAACCAGAAAGGGACGGCUAACUACGUG
rnacentral:rRNA from 1 species